GAGUUUGAUUAUGGCUCAGGAUGAACGCACAAGACGUGCCUAACACAUGCAAAUCGAAUGAAAACAAUUUAAUUAAAUUGUUUUCAUGGUGAACGGGUGAGUAACACAUAAGAAUCAGCUUUUAGAUAAGGCAUAAAAGAGUAAUAUCUUGGUAAUUCCUUAUAUGCGCAGCAGUGCUUAAAAAGGGGACUCCCGUCUAAAAACGAGCUUAUGCCUGAUUAGCUAGUUGGCGAGUUAAAAGCUCACCAAGGCGAAGAUCAGUAGCUGGCCUGAGAGGGCGGCCAGCCACAUUGGGACUGAGACACGGCCCAAACUCCUACGGGAGGCAGCAGUGGGGAAUCUUCUGCAAUGGGCGCAAGCCUGACAGAGCGGCGUCAUGUGAAGGAAGAAGGCCUGAAAUAGGUUGUAAACUUCUUUUACUGAGUAAUGAAUACUGACAACGCAGUAAAAAAGUAUCGGCUAACUCCGUGCCAGCAGCCGCGGUAAUACGGGGGAUGCAAGCGUUAUCCGGAAUCACUGGGCGUAAAGCGUCUGUAGGUGGUUUAGUGUGUUCUUAGUUAAAUUAUGAAGCCUAACUUCAUGAAAAGUAAGAAAACUAUUAGACUUGAGUACGAUAGGGGUAAGAGGAAUUCUUCGAGAAGUAGUGAAAUGCGAAGAUACGAAGGAGAAGAUCAUAAGCGAAGGCUUCUUACUGGGUCGUAACUGACACUGAGAGACGAAAGCUAGGGGAGCGAAUGGGAUUAGAUACCCCAGUAGUCCUAGCUGUAAACGAUGGAUAUUCGGUGCCGGAUUUUAUUAGAACAUUUCGGUACCCUAGCUAACGCGUUAAAUAUCCCGCCUGAGGAGUACGCUCGCAAGGGUGAAACUCAAAGGAAUUGACGGGGGCUCGCACAAGCGGUGGAGCAUGUGGUUUAAUUCGAUGCAAAGCGAAGAACCUUACCAGGGCUUGACAGUAUGU
rnacentral:rRNA from 1 species